rnacentral:tRNA from 1 species
AUUUAAAUAGUUUAAAAAAAAUUUUGAUUUGUGGAAUCAAAGAUAUAAAUAUCUUAUUUUAAAUA